rnacentral:sRNA from 1 species
UACAACUGUGCGGCCGCUUCGUGCAAAAGCUCGGGGACGCUCUGCCGGAGGAGAUUCGGGAGCCCGCUCUGCGAGAUGCGCAGUGGACUUUUGAAUCAGCUGUGCAAGAGAAUAUCAGCAUUAAUGGGCAAGCAUGGCAGGAAGCUUCAGAUAAUUGUUUUAUGGAUUCUGACAUCAAAGUACUUGAAGAUCAGUUUGAUGAAAUCAUAGUAGAUAUAGCCACAAAACGUAAGCAGUAUCCCAGAAAGAUCCUGGAGUGUGUCAUCAAAACCAUAAAAGCAAAACAAGAAAUUCUGAAGCAGUACCACCCUGUUGUACAUCCACUGGACCUAAAAUAUGACCCUGAUCCAGGUGAGUCAGUAUCCAUUUGUGGUAAAAAUGAAGCAUCUGCUUAUAAUUUUUAUGGGUUUCUGAUAAACUUCCUAUCAGUCAUUCAUGUUUAGCAUUUCACCUAGAAUUAAGAGGACUAGCUUUACACCCACUGACUCAGAAUUCCAGGGGUGUUACCCCGGAAUCUGAGCUUUUAUAAAGUUCUCGCCUGACCCAGACUAUUAUAACACAUACCCAUCUCUAACUUCUAAUACCCUCCUAUCUCUGUCAUUGUACUAUCUAUUCUUUGCAUUAUAGCCAAAGCUAUAGUAUUAAAGCAUUCUCUCAUAGUGUCACACCCAGUGCAGUAACCAUCAUUGGUUUCUUAUUAUUUCUAAAAUCAAAUAAAAAUAUAUCGAAUUUAAGAAGAAAUAC